rnacentral:rRNA from 1 species
UACGGAGGGUGCAAGCGUUAUCCGGAUUCACUGGGUUUAAAGGGUGCGUAGGUGGGAAUGUAAGUCAGUGGUGAAAUCUCCGUGCUUAACAUGGAAACUGCCAUUGAUACUAUGUUUCUUGAAUUUUCUGGAGGUAAGCGGAAUAUGUCAUGUAGCGGUGAAAUGCUUAGAUAUACAUAGAACACCAAUUGCGAAGGCAGCUUGCUACAGGGAUAUUGACACUGAGGCACGAAAAGCGUGGGGGAUCAAAACAGG